rnacentral:rRNA from 1 species
GACGAACGCUGGCGGCGUGCCUAAUACAUGCAAGUCGAGCGAAUCAAUAGGAGCUUGCUCCUGUUGGUUAGCGGCGGACGGGUGAGUAACACGUGGGCAACCUGCCUGUCAGACUGGGAUAACACCGGGAAACCGGUGCUAAUACCGGAUAAUCCUUUUCCUCUCAUGAGGAAAAGCUGAAAGUCGGUUUCGGCUGACACUUACAGAUGGGCCCGCGGCGCAUUAGCUAGUUGGUGAGGUAACGGCUCACCAAGGCGACGAUGCGUAGCCGACCUGAGAGGGUGAUCGGCCACACUGGGACUGAGACACGGCCCAGACUCCUACGGGAGGCAGCAGUAGGGAAUCUUCCACAAUGGACGAAAGUCUGAUGGAGCAACGCCGCGUGAGCGAUGAAGGCCUUCGGGUCGUAAAGCUCUGUUGUUAGGGAAGAACAAGUACCGGAGUAACUGCCGGUACCUUGACGGUACCUAACCAGAAAGCCACGGCUAACUACGUGCCAGCCGCCGCAGUAAGAC